GGGGGCGUGGCGGAACCGGAAGACGCGAAGGCCUUAAAAGCCUUUGUCCGCGAGGACGUGCAGGUUCAAGCCCUGCCGCCCCUA
rfam:Candidatus Rokubacteria bacterium 13_2_20CM_70_12 13_2_20cm_scaffold_1732, whole genome shotgun sequence.